UCAAAUUUCUAACAGCUUUUUUCCCUUCCUCUCUUUUCUGUUCUUUUCUUUUUUUUUCCCUUCGAUCGAGUACCCCUCGCUUCUCUAAUCCCCUCCUCGCUCGCCCAACCUCCCGAUUUCUUGUGCGUUCUACUGCAUUGCAAUCCGCACGCAGAAGAGCGCCGUCGUGGGUGGGGACUCACCGGCGUACGCGUCUGGGGAUGAUCGGAGAUGCGAUUUCUGGAUGGACCUCGGAAAAUCUUGUGUAACCGCCACGGAUGGGUUCUUGACAACGUGGAAGCUCGAUCUUGGAUGGUUAUCCGUGUCUUGAGGGGAUCGUGGGGUGAAAGGAGUGGGAGCUUAUGAGGGUUUGGGUCUGCGAGGAGGGAAAGAUCGCGGCGGCACCAUGUAUUUCACCAAGCUCGACGAUUCUCCGAUGUUUCGGAAGCAGAUUCAAUCACUCGAAGAAAGUGCAGAAUCAUUGAGGGAGAGAUGUCUAAAAUUUUAUAAAGGAUGUCACAAAUAUACAGAAGGACUUGGGGAAGGAUAUGAUAGAGAUGUUGCAUUUGCAAGCUCUCUUGAAAUGUUUGGAGGAGGGCAUAGUGACCCCAUUAGUGUUGCUUUUGGAGGUCCUGUUAUGACGAAGUUUACCAUCGCUUUGAGAGAAAUAGGAACCUACACAGAAGUUCUACGUUCUCAGGUUGAGCACAUGUUAAAUGACAAACUACUACAAUUUGUAGACAUAGAUUUGCAUGAUGUUAAGGACGCACGUAAGAGGUUUGACAAGGCUAGCCUUUUAUAUGACCAGGCACGUGAGAAGUAUCUAGCGCUAAAGAAAGGCACAAAAGCAGACAUAGCAACAACCUUAGAGGAUGAACUCCACAUUGCGAGAUCUUCAUUCGAGCAAGCCCGUUUUGAUCUUGUUACUGCUCUUUCUAACAUUGAAGCAAAAAAGAGAUAUGAACUUUUGGAGGCUGUUACUGGAAUUAUGGAAGCUCAUCUUCGUUACUUUAAACAAGGAUAUGAGCUACUACAUCAGAUGGAGCCAUAUAUCCAUCAGGUUCUGGCUUAUGCACAACAAUCAAGGGAUAGAUCUAAGUAUGAACAAGCCGCACUUAUAGAAAGGAUGCAAGAGUUCAAAAGACAGAUUGACCGAGAAAGUAGAUUGUCUGCAAAUGGGUCACAUGAUUCUCCUAAUGGAGAUGGUAUACAAGCUAUUGGAAGGAGCUCACAUAAAAUGAUAGAGGCAGUGAUGCAAUCAGCUGCAAAAGGAAAGGUUCAGACCAUCAGACAAGGUUAUCUUUCGAAGCGCUCAUCAAACUUAAGAGGUGAUUGGAAGAGAAGGUUCUUUGUUCUUGAUAGUCGAGGCAUGUUAUACUAUUAUCGUAAGCAAUGGAUCAGAUCAUCUGGAGGACACCAUUCUAAUCCACGAGGUCAUAAUUCUUCUGAACAUGGUUCUGGAUUAUUGAGUCGAUGGUUUUCUUCUCACUAUCAUGGUGGUGUACAUGAUGAGAAAUCUGUUGCACGUCACACUGUAAACUUACUCACAUCGACAAUAAAAGUUGAUGCAGACCAGUCUGACCUGCGUUUCUGCUUCAGGAUUAUUUCACCAACAAAGAAUUACACUUUGCAGGCCGAGAACGCCAUGGAUCAAAUGGAUUGGAUUGAAAAAAUAACUGGUGUUAUUGCUUCUCUGCUGAACUCUCAGUCACCUGAACAGCACCUCCUUACAAGCCCCAUGGGUGGUGGCCACCAUCGAGCAGCCAGUGAAAGCAGCUCAUUAGGUAGCUCAUCCGAUCUUGAUCAGUUAGCAAAUGAAGAUUCCUCAUUGGAAAAGAUCAGUGUUAGUGGGCAUUUUGAUCGAUGUAUUAGAAGCUCACAACAUUAUAGAUUUAACUCAAAGCAUGAGAAACCAAUUGAUGUGCUACGAAAAGUAUGUGGCAAUGAUGCAUGUGCUGACUGUGGUGCUCCUGAACCUGAUUGGGCAUCCCUGAACCUUGGAAUUCUUCUUUGCAUUGAGUGUUCUGGGGUUCACCGUAAUCUUGGUGUGCAUAUAUCAAAGGUAAGAUCUCUAACGCUUGAUGUUAGAGUCUGGGACCCUUCUGUUAUUAGUCUGUUUCGAUCGUUGGGUAACACAUUUGCCAACUCCAUCUGGGAGGAAUCAUUUCUGAUGACAAGUAAUGGAAAAUCUGGGGAUGUCUCUAGUUUGUGUACACUUGACAGGAAUCAAGAGCAUUGUUAUAUCAGCAAGCCUAAACAUUCAGAUCCAAUUGCAGUGAAGGAGAAGUUCAUUCAAGCAAAGGUAUCAUACAAAUUACUUGUCAAUCUCAAUUCACUCAAUCAAGAUCCCGCUUUGUAUUUAUUGAAUACAUUCAAUACAUAUCAUUGGAAGCAGCUUUGGGCUUUACCAUUUAUUUCACAUUAUGAAAAAAUUUAUGUAAACUGAUUCUUAGUCUACUGUAGAAGAAAGCUGUCUGGUGGAAUUAGGGAGAACACCAAGUUUUUUGGGAUAUGCUGACAAAACAUUGUACAAAGUGAAAAUGCUACUUGUCAGCCACAUUUUAGCAUAUGAUAGAUUUCCAUUAUGAUGAUGGGACUACUUUCUAUAUCUUGGGCAUAAUCACCUACUCUUCCCCAAAGUGAUUACAUAUCUUAAAAUUCUGUAUAUUGACAUAAAAUAGAAAAUAAGUUGGAAGUUUUCUGCUAAUUCUUUCAAUAACUACAAUCUUCGCUAAAGUGGUUCAUGUUUCAUUAAUUAUAAUGGACUGGAAAAUUCCCUUGUAAUUUUACCUGAAAGCAGUUGUCGUGAUUAGAUAUGACAUGAAUAAAAGCUAACUGUAUUGACUUUUGGUUUCAGUAAAGAUUUGAUAUACACUUAUUUUUUGUUCUAAUGGUGAAAAAUAAAUGCCAUGCACCACACGGUUUAUAUGAGCAAAACAUGCAAGUAAAUACUUAUUUCUUAGCAGUAUAAUUAGUAGAUAUUGUCUUGCAAGAGCUAAGUUCUUUUUUUUUUGUGUGUGUUGGUGCAUUUCCUUGGUAUGUAUUAUAUCUUUUGAGUUCUAUUUGCUAGACUGUUUAGCUUAGGAUUGCAGGGAUAGUGGUCUAAAAGUAUGUUCUACUGAAAAAUAAAUGCAAGUGUGGGAUCAGAAGAGUAUAACAACCUUGUUCAAAUAUAUGUCUAGGAGUUAUUUUUCCAUAAAACCUGGCACCAUUAGGACAUAACAAUCUUUUGAGUUCUAUUUUAUCCAUUGAAAAGGAGGAAAAAAAUAAAAGUGGGGGGAUGUUUCAGCUUCUCAGUUUAUGUGCUAAGUAUUUUUAUAAUGCAGUUUUAAUAUUUUUCUAGACAGGCAAAGAUGAAAGUUUACUUUAUUGCUUUCAAUGCAUGACAAAAUGGACUCUGGUAUUCCCAGGAACUGCUUUUGAUUAAAUUGUCAGGGAAGUGAUGUUUUUCAAGGACGCCUGUGCAAUUCAAUACGUGCUAUUUAGAGGCUACUGAAUCUUAGAAAACAUGUUCUUGUAUACAUGUCUGGUGCCAUAUUACUUUCUGCACUUUGUUUGCCCAAACAUACAGCAUCUUAGGUCUACCCUCAUCUGAUAUUUGACUCAGAUUUAUCUUCCUUUUCCCCUCUAGUGUAGCUUUAUGGUAGACAAUUCUCACAAGGAUUGUACAAUGCAUGAAGAUCAUGUGCAUAUGAUAGGUUUUGAUAAUUUUUGUGACUUUAUUAUUUUUGUUUGAUUUCAAAUUUCUAGUUCCUGUUUAACUUGAAAAUUGUAUACACAACUAAAAUUAUUGUGAGGUGAUUCGAGAAAAGUUCCUUGGAAUACUGUAACAUGUUUUUUUUUUUUUUC